UGUUUUUAGUUUUAUUUAUUUAUUUUUUUCUUUUUAUGGUUGCACCUAUGGCAUAUGGAAGUUCCUGGGCUAGGAGUCAAACUGGAGCUGCAGCUGCUGGCCUACAUGACAGCCACAAGUCAUGCCAGAUCCGAGCUGCAUCUUCAACCUAUGCUGCAGCUUGUGACAAUGCCAGAUCCUUAACCCACUGAUCAAGGCCAGGGAUUGAACCCACAUCCUCACAGACGCUAUUUCAGGUUCUUAACUCACUGAGCUUCAAUGAGAACUUCAAUUUCUUCCUUUAAAAAAAUUUUUCCAUUGAGUUCCCCUCGUGGCUUAGCGGAAAUGAAUCUGACCAGAAUCCAUGAGGAUGCAGCUUCUAUCUGCGGCCUUGCUCAGUGGAUUAAGGAUCUGACAUUGUCAUGAGCUGGGAACUGGCAUUUGCUGUGGUGUUGGCCGGCAGUCACAGCUCUUGAUUUGAGCCUGGGAACCUCCAUAUGCCAUGAGUGCAGCCCUAAAAAGACCAAAAAAAUUUUUUUUCCUUCCAGGCUGUUAUUUGUGUUCGUGUAUAAAAGUAAGCAUGUGUUUGAACUUGAGACCAUGAUUUUAAAAAAUGUAAUGUAUUUUAAAAUAUAUCAUAAGCCUGUUUAAAAUUGAAGUUUAGUUGAUUUAGAAUGUGUUAAUGUCUGCUGUACAGUAAAAUGAUUCAGUUAUAUACAUAUUCUUUUUCAUUAUGAUUUAUCUCAGGAUAUGGAAUAUAUAGUUCCCUGUGCUAUACAGUAGGACCUUGUUUAUCCUGAGCCUUUUUUUUUUUAUGACAGUAAAUCAUGUUCUAAGUUUUUUUAACAGCCUUUUAUUUUGCUAAAAUUUAUCUAGUUUCAUGAUGUUGCAUAUUUGAUGUUUUCAUGUUUGGUGUGUUAACAACACAGCAGUGGAUAACCUCGUACCUACGUAUUUGUGCAUUUUUCUGCUAAUAACCAGGAGACUGGGACCAAUUCUAGAAACAGAAUUACUGACCCGUGGAAGCUCUGUUCCAGCAUACACCUUCUCUAGCAGUGCGUGAGAAUACCAGCCCGCCACCACAUGACAACUAUUCCUGUAAGUCUGAGAAAGUCAAGGUAAAUUGCCUGUAGGCACAGAGCUACUGACUUUUUCUAUACUAACCAGACAUCUUAGUUCUCACGGCAGAAUCCUCCCUAGCUAGUUUCAGUAGGAAAGGAUACACAAAGGCUAUUAGAAAUUUGCAGAGUUGGAGUUCCCGUCAUGGCUCAGCAGAAACGAAUCUGACUAGUAACCAUGAGGACACAGUUUUGAUCCCGGGCCUUGAUCAGCGGGUUAAGAAUCCGGCGUUGCCAUGAAAUGUGGUAUAGGUCGCAGACACGGUUCAGAUCUGGCGUGGCUGUGGCUGUGGCACAGGAUGGCAGCUACAGCUCUGAUUCGACCCCUAGCCUGGGAACUCCAUAUGAUGUGGGUGCUGCCCUAAAAAAAAAAAAAAAAAAAAAAAAAGAAAGAAUGAAAGGAAGGAAGAAGUGAAAGAAAAGAAAGAAAAAGAAAUUUGCAGAGUUUUUGGAGAAGCUAGUCUGACCUAGGAACAACUCCCAGGUCCACACCUCAGAUCUGACUGUGUCAUAGCACUGUAGCCAUAACAUAUAAACUCGAUUUUGGGUGGUGGGAAGAGCCCCCAUG
ensembl:lncRNA